rnacentral:lncRNA from 1 species
AAAUCAAACUUCACCCGAUUGUUCAAAUCUUGAAAAAGAACUGCUUCAGGAAGAGCCAUAUUAGGCAGCAGCCACACAGGCAGAAGGGUAGUUAACUGUCUGCAAAGCAAGACCAACUAUCUAGUGGCAGUUCUGGAUUUCCCAAAUUUUGUACCACCCUUACUGUGUCAGCCAGUUCAGUUUCUAUGUAUGAUAGGCCAUUGGGUAUCAGCACUCCUCCCCUGCUCAGUUUUUCAACUCUUGCUAAAAACUCAGAAUCCACCUUCUUCAUGUGUCAGAGACCAUCUGUUUUGAGCCUUCUUCCUGAAUACAGCACUUAGAUUAAUUUCUCAGACCAGCAAUGUAUCUUCUCCAGCAUUGGUCAAGU